rnacentral:rRNA from 1 species
GAUGAACGCUGGCGGCGUGCCUAACACAUUGCAAGUCGAACGAAGCACCUUGAUUUUGAUUCUUCGGAUGAAGAUUCUUGGUGACUGAGUGGCGGACGGGUGAGUAACGCGUGGGUAACCUGCCUCAUACAGGGGGAUAACAGUUAGAAAUGACUGCUAAUACCGCAUAAGACCACAGCACCGCAUGGUGCAGGGGUAAAAACUCCGGUGGUAUGAGAUGGACCCGCGUCUGAUUAGGUAGUUGGUGGGGUAACGGCCUACCAAGCCGACGAUCAGUAGCCGACCUGAGAGGGUGACCGGCCACAUUGGGACUGAGACACGGCCCAAACUCCUACGGGAGGCAGCAGUGGGGAAUAUUGCACAAUGGGGGAAACCCUGAUGCAGCGACGCCGCGUGAGCGAUGAAGUAUUUCGGUAUGUAAAGCUCUAUCAGCAGGGAAGAAAAUGACGGUACCUGACUAAGAAGCACCGGCUAAAUACGUGCCAGCAGCCGCGGUAAUACGUAUGGUGCAAGCGUUAUCCGGAUUUACUGGGUGUAAAGGGAGCGUAGACGGAGUGGCAAGUCUGAUGUGAAAACCCGGGGCUCAACCCCGGGACUGCAUUGGAAACUGUCAAUCUAGAGUACCGGAGAGGUAAGCGGAAUUCCUAAGUGUAGCGGUGAAAUGCGUAGAUAUUAGGAGGAACACCAGUGGCGAAAGGCGGCUUACUGGACGGUAACUGACGUUGAGGCUCGAAAGCGUGGGGAGCAAAACAGGAUUAGAUACCCUGGUAGUCCACGCCGUAAACGAUGACUACUAGGUGUCGGGCAGCAAAGCUGUUCGGUGCCGCAGCAAACGCAAUAAGUAGUCCACCUGGGGAGUACGUUCGCAAGAAAUGAAAACUCAAAAGGAAUUGACGGGGACCCGCACAAGCGGUGGAGCAUGUGGUUUAAUUCGAAGCAAACGCGAAGAACCUUACCUGCUCUUGACAUCUCCCUGACCGGCAAGUAAUGUUGCCUUUCCUUCGGGACAGGGAUGACAGGUGGUGCAUGGUUGUCGUCAGCUCGUGUCGUGAGAUGUUGGGUUAAGUCCCGCAACGAGCGCAACCCCUAUCUUUAGUAGCCAGCGGUUUGGCCGGGUACUCUAGAGAGACUGCCAGGGAUAACCUGGAGGAAGGUGGGGAUGACGUCAAAAUCAUCAUGCCCCUUAUGAGCAGGGCUACAACAACGUGCUACGAAUGGCGGUAAACAAAGGGAGGCGGAACCGCGGAGGUGGACAAAAUUCCCAAAAAAUAACUUCUCGGUUUCGGGAUGGUGUUCUGCGAACUCGGACUCCAUGAAGCUGGAUUCG